GGGAGUAUAUUUUAAUGGUAAAAUAUUAACCUGUCUCGUUAAAGUUACGAGUUCGAGUCUCGUUAUUCCCG
rnacentral:tRNA from 1 species